rnacentral:rRNA from 1 species
AUGGCUACUAGCACCAAGCUUGUAGCUCUUGGCUUUGUUGUCCUUGUGAGCAUUGGGUUUGCUGAUGCUGCAAGGAUGCUCGCUAGCUCCUCCAGUGCUUCAGGUGGUGGAGGUGGCGGGGGAGGUGGAGGCGGUGGCGGUGGGUCUGGUGGGAGUGGAUGGGGUGGAGGGUCUGGAUCAGGUGGGGGCUCAGGAUAUAGUGAAAGCGGUGGGGAUUGGGGUAACAAGUGGAACUUCGCCAGGGGAGCUGGUGGAGGAGGAGGAGCUGGGGGUGGCGGAGGAUCAAAUGGUGGAUACGGGUCUGGCUUCGGAUCCGGAUACGGCACCGGCAGCAGUGCGAGUGGCUCCGCGUCAGCCCCUAGUGGCAAUGGAUAUGCUAAUGCUGAUGGUAAGGGUGGGGGUGGAGGUGGAGGUGGAGGUGCAGAUGGGUCUACCGGAUCCGGAGCUGGCUCUGGCCUUGGCAAGGGAUAUGGUGAGAGUGGCAUAUCAAAGGCGCCUGCUCCUGCUACUGGUGGUGAUGGUACCAGCUACUCUAAUGCUGGCGGAGGAAGCGGCAAUGGUGGUGGCGCAGCUGGAGGCGGCGCCGAAGGUCCAAGCGUUGGCGUCGGGUCUGGCGCCGGGUCUGGCGCGGGACAAACCGGUAGUACUGGCUCAAAUGGCACAGGUUAUGCCACCGGAAUGGGUGGCGGCAUGGGUGGCGGCAAUGGUGGUAGCACUAAUGGAGGAACCGGUAGCGGUGGAGGCAGUGGAUCCGGAUCGGGGGGUGGCGGGUACAACUAA